rnacentral:rRNA from 1 species
UACGGGGGGGGCAAGCGUUGUUCGGAAUUACUGGGUUUAAAGGGUGCGUAGGCGGCUGUGUAAGUCAGGAGUGAAAGUUUGCGGCUCAACCGUAAAAUUGCUUUUGAUACUGCAUGGCUAGAAUCAGGAUGAGGUUAGCGGAAUGUGGCAUGUAGCGGUGAAAUGCAUAGAUAUGCCAUAGAACACCAAUUGCGAAGGCAGCUGGCUAGACCUGUAUUGACGCUGAGGCACGAAAGCGUGGGGAGCGAACAGG